UACGAACCGUGCGAACGUUAUUCGGAAUAACUGGGCUUAAAGGGAGCGUAGGCGGGCUAUCAAGUCUGGGGUGAAAUCCCACGGCUCAACCGUGGAACUGCCUUAGAUACUGACGGCCUCGAGGGAGAUAGGGGCAUGCGGAACUGUAGGUGGAGCGGUGAAAUGCGUUGAUAUCUACAGGAACUCCGGUGGCGAAAGCGGCGUGCUGGAGCUCUUCUGACGCUGAGGCUCGAAAGCUAGGGGAGCAAACGGG
rnacentral:rRNA from 1 species